UUCGCCUUGUGCCAGCAGCCGCGGUAAUUCCAGCUCCAAUAGCGUAUAUUAAAGUUGUUGCAGUUAAAAAGCUCUGUAGUUGAACCUUGGGCCUGGCUGGCCGGUCCGCCUCACCGCGUGUACUGGUCCGGCCGGGCCUUUCCUUCUGGGGAACCUCAUGCCCUUCACUGGGCGUGUUGGGGAACCAGGACUUUUACUUUGAAAAAAUUAGAGUGUUCAAAGCAGGCCUUUGCUCGAAUACAUUAGCAUGGAAUAAUAGAAUAGGACGUGUGGUUCUAUUUUGUUGGUUCCUAGGACCGCCGUAAUGAUUAAUAGGGAUAGUCGGGGGCAUCAGUAUUCAAUCGUCAGAGGUGAAAUUCUUGGAUUGAUUGAAGACUAACUACUGCGAAAGCAUUUGCCAAGGAUGUUUUCAUUAAUCAGUGAACGAAAGUUAGGGGAUCGAAGACGAUCAGAUACCGUCGUAGUCUUAACCAUAAACUAUGCCGACUAGGGAUCGGACGGUGUUAGUAUUUUGACCCGUUCGGCACCUUACGAGAAAUCAAAGUUUUUGGGUUCUGGGGGGAGUAUGGUCGCAAGGCUGAAACUUAAAGAAAUUGACGGAAGGGCACCACCAGGCGUGGAGCCUGCGGCUUUAAUUUGACUCAACACGGGGGAAACUCACCAGGUCCAGACACAAUAAGGAUUGACAGAUUGAGAGCUCUUUUCUUGAUUUUGUGGGUGGUGGUGCAUGGCCGUUCUUAGUUGGUGGAGUGAUUUGUCUGCUUAAUUGCGAUAACGAACGAGACCUUAACCUGCUAAAUAG
rnacentral:rRNA from 1 species